CAUGCCCCUUGAGGCGUUGCAGUCCAACAUCGUGUUGAGUCUGUGUCAUAAGGUGGCAGAGAAUAAAAGGCUUACAUUAUCAUCUGCAUUCAAUACCUCCAACAGUGGGGGUUUGGAGUGAUGUAGUCCAACAGA
ensembl:snoRNA